rnacentral:rRNA from 1 species
UACGAGGGGGGCAAAUGUUGUUCGGAAUCACUGGGCGUAAAGGGCGCGUAGGCGGGUGUUUAAGUUAGGUGUUUAAUCCUGGGGCCCAACCCCAGUCGUGCACCUAAAACUGGACAUCUCGAAUAGUGGAGAGGUCAGUGGAAUUGGGGGUGUAGCGGUGGAAUGCGUAGAGAUCCCCAAGAACACCAGUUGCGAAGGCGGCUGACUGGACACAUAUUGACGCUGAGGCUCGAAAGCAUGGGGAGCAAACAGG